GGCGAACGCUGGCGGCGUGCUUAACACAUACAAGUCGAACGGAAAGGCCCUGCUUUUGUGGGGUGCUCGAGUGGCGAACGGGUGAGUAACACGUGAGUAACCUGCCCUUGACUUUGGGAUAACUUCAGGAAACUGGGGCUAAUACCGGAUAGGAGCUCCUGCUGCAUGGUGGGGGUUGGAAAGUUUCGGCGGUUGGGGAUGGACUCGCGGCUUAUCAGCUUGUUGGCGGGGUAGUGGCUUACCAAGGCUUUGACGGGUAGCCGGCCUGAGAGGGUGACCGGCCACAUUGGGACUGAGAUACGGCCCAGACUCCUACGGGAGGCAGCAGUGGGGAAUAUUGCACAAUGGGCGGAAGCCUGAUGCAGCAACGCCGCGUGCGGGAUGACGGCCUUCGGGUUGUAAACCGCUUUCGCCUGUGACGAAGCGUGAGUGACGGUAAUGGGUAAAGGAGCACCGGCUAACUACGUG
rnacentral:rRNA from 1 species